AUAGCAGAUGAACAUUCCAUAGAUGGGAUUCAGGAGUUCCUUUAGCAACAAGAGAAAGAAUUCCUUCGUGACCCCUCCAGCAUCAACAGCCUCCUCGCCAUCAAAGAUCACCUGCCAUGAAAACAGGGUGGACUCUGGGAGUGAAGGGCAGCAGGAGGAAAAAGCCUGACAGACAUCUUUGAAUGCAAAAGGCUGCAUCUCAUUUGGAAUUGCCGAAGUUGAAGAGACAGACGUCAAGCUUGCAGAGGACAAGCAGUCUAACCGUUUGACUAGGCCCUGGAGCUUCAUGCAAUGCACUUAGACAGCAAGCACAAGAAAGUCAUGAUUCUUGACCCCAUUUGGCUACUUACUUCUUCUCCAGGAAGCUUCCAUUCCAACAGGCAGACGACGACAAGAUCUGCACAACUUCACUGCUUGGAGGGGGAAGACAAAAGGAAAGAGGGGUGCUAGUCUGAACAGAUGUCAUGCUAGACUUCUGCAGAUCUCAUUUGCUCUUGUACCAACAAGUCGAGUGGUCUCCCUUCUAUCCCUUGCAUGCAAAAGUAUUAUCAUAACCACCCCUGUAUUAUAAGUGGGGAGACUGCAGGGCACAGGGGUUUAGCGACUUCCUCACGUCCCAUGACAAGUUUUUUGGCAGAGAUGGGCUGGCACUACUUCCUUUCACUGACAAUGCUUUCCCUAGGCCACCCACAUUGGAGAGGGAAGGGAUGUUUUAAAUCAGACUGUUGAAAAUUCCUUGCUUCUUUCUGUGAGCUCCACUCUUGUGUUAAAAGAUUCUUUCUUUCGAAUCCAAUGCCCCCAUCCUUCACUUAGGGUCUGAGAAAGCUCUGACACAUCUUCCUGGUUUUGUUAGGAAGAUCUGACCUGGGAUUCCUGAUAUAAAUUAUAAAUUGGUGCUGAAGUUCAAACAGAGAGAGAGAGAGAG